rnacentral:rRNA from 1 species
AGGACGAACGCUGGCGGCGUGCUUAACACAUGCAAGUCGAGCGGAAAGGCCCUUCGGGGUACUCGAGCGGCGAACGGGUGAGUAACACGUGAGUAAUCUGCCCAUCGCUUCAGGAUAGCCAUCGGAAACGGUGAUUAAUACUGGAUAUGACAUUCCUUCGCAGUGUUGGGGUGUGGAAAGUUUUUUCGGCGGUGGAGUGUGCUCGCGGCCUAGUCAGCUUGGUUGGUGGGGUAAUGGCCUACCAAGGCUUUGACGGGUAGCCGGCCUGAGAGGUGACCGCACACGUGGACUGCGACACGGCCCAGACUCCGUACGGGAGGCAGCGAGUGGGAACUAUUAGGACAAGUCGGGAGGAACGCC